rnacentral:tRNA from 1 species
GCGUUGAUGGUGUAAUGGUUAGCAUUGCUGCCUUCCAAGCAGUAGGUCUGGGUUCGAUUCCCAGCCAACGCA